UGGAAGGUGGCUGAGGAAGUCGAAUACUUUCAGAGAAUGUCUUUGCCAGCUUGUGUUUCUUAUCAGAUGGAAAAUAUUUUUGGAGAAACAGCAUCAGCUGGAUGCACAACGAAAGCGCCUUUCUCCAGGCUCAAAAGAGUACCAGAAUGUUCAUGAAGAAGUCUUACAAGAAUAUCAGAAGAUCAAGCAGUCCAGUCCCAAUUACCAUGAAGAAAAGUACAGAUGCGAGUAUCUUCAUAACCAGCUGGCUCACAUCAAAAGACUAAUAGGUGAAUUUGACCAACAGCAAGCAGAGUCAUGGCACUAGAACUCUGCUUGGACCAGAAGAUGUGAAUAAAACUUAAACUUAUUUAUUUAAAA